rnacentral:misc_RNA from 1 species
UACGGGACGCAGCGGUAGGGAAUUUUGGACAAUGGGGAAACCUGAUCCAGCCAUCCCGCGUGUGCGAUGAAAGGCCUUCGGGUUGUAAAGCACUUUUGGCAGGGAGAGAAAAAGAGAGGAAACGGCACAGGAUAAUACGAUACAGCGUGUUACCUGCAGAAUAAGCACCGGUAACUACGUGCCAGCAGCCGCGGUAAUACGUAAGUGCAAGCGUUAAUCAGGUUACUGGGCGUAAAGCGUGCGCAGGCGGUUCCGGAAAGAAAGAUGUGAAAUCCCAGAGCUUAACUUUGGAACUGCAUUUUAACUACCGAGCUAGAGUGUGUCAGAGGGAGGUGGAAUUCACACCCGUGUAGCAGUGAAAUGCGUAGAUAUGCGGAGGAACACCGAUGGCGAAGGCAGCCUCCUGGGAUAACGCGGCAGCACUCUGCACGAAAGCGUGGGGAGCAAACAGGAUUAGAUACCCCCGUAGU